AAUGUUUAUAAGUAUGCAAUAGUAAUGGGCGAUAGAAACAAUAUGCAAUAUAAAUAUACAAAAUUGGCCUA